UCCCUCUUAGCUCAGUGGUAGAGCGCGUCACUAGUAUACAGUACGACACAUUGUGUAUGUAAUGACGAGGUCAGUCGUUCAAGUCGGCUAGAGGGAA